CGAUUGCUCAACUUUGACCUCCUGACCUUGGUUAUUUAAAGAGAGAUGGUCGUCGUAUCGUGAAGUCUAGGCUUUGCUUUCGUCUCAAAUAUUGACUCUUAUAAGUAUGGGUCUUUUUGGAUUUAUGGGCGGAUUCAUUUCUGGUACUGUCUUUGGAAUCUAUGCAACUCAGCAUUAUGACAUUCCAGACAUAAUGAAUCUAUUUGCAACCCUGAAAGAAUCAGCAAAAAAAUAUGAAAAGAAAGACUUAGCUUUACCACCGAAAAAAGAAGACAGUUGACCAAAAUAGUGAGUGGAUUUUCUUUUCGGAUGAAUUUUGUGAAAUCAAGGCCCAAUAUUAUGUGCUUGGUCCAAAAGAGGAAUACAAAUGAGGAAGAAAUACUGUAAUAUUUUUUUCUAAAAAUAUGUAUAUAUAUGGAAUGUUUGUAUGUACAGUAAUUGAGAGGUUCAUGUUAUUACCUAAUUGUAUUAGUAAAUGCAAAGAGGAUGCAGCAAUCUGGGCUAGGGUUAAAGGUGGUGCCUCUUGUAAAGAAAUCUAAAUUGAUUAGUUAACUUCACAUAUUGAUAAUUUUUUUGUUUAGUUUACUAUACAAUAAUUGGUACAGUGUACCAAUUUAAUUCUACAAUUCCCCCUCAGGAAAAAGCACAUCAUUACAAACAAUUGUACUAAUUCAUUCAGAUUUUACAGUAGUCAGUCAUAUGUGUAUACAUACUAAAUAACAUUGGGUUAUCUAAUGGUUUAUAUAUAUACUUAAUAUGAAAGUCAGGUCUCAUGGGAGGUCCAUGUUAUAUUGAUAAUUUUUUUGUUUAUUUUACUAUACAAUGUUACAGUGUACCAAUUUAAUUCUGCAAUCCCCCUCUAACCUGCAAUUGGGUGUGGCCCCGGCUGACAGCUUUUGGAGACACUUACAGUAAUUGGUUGGUCGAAUUGAGGAGCCUAUGCAGUGUAUGCGAUUUUAUUGAAAAUUUCGAGUCAGUGUAACCAGACGUUAGGUGAAAUAGGAAAGUCAAAGUAUGUAUUCCAAUUUUGGAACUGACCCCUGCCCAGACCUGCAGAAAUAUACUUGAAUAAAUUAUAGCCAUAAUAAUGGGCCUUCUGAGGUCAAGAUUUUGUAUGUUAAUUCUUCAGUAGUAUAUAGUGUAUUGAAAAAAAAAAAUGUCUUCAUGAAGAAUGUAUGGACAUUAAAACAUUUACAGUAUGGAAGGUAAAUUACUGCAAACUGUGCAUGUAUGCUAUAAUCAAAACCUAUAAAUUUUAGUUCUCUCAUGUUGAUCAGUGUGGAUAUGUACAGUAUUUUUUUUUUAAAUGACAAAUUGAGGGGACUCAUGACUCCCCUCAAAAUAAAGUUUUGAAAGUUGCA